rnacentral:rRNA from 1 species
GUGGGGAAUAUUGGACAAUGGGCGCAAGCCUGAUCCAGCCAUGCCGCGUGAGUGAUGAAGGCCUUAGGGUUGUAAAGCUCUUUUGUCCGGGACGAUAAUGACGGUACCGGAAGAAUAAGCCCCGGCUAACUUCGUGCCAGCAGCCGCGGUAAUACGAAGGGGGCUAGCGUUGCUCGGAAUCACUGGGCGUAAAGGGCGCGUAGGCGGCCGAUUAAGUCGGGGGUGAAAGCCUGUGGCUCAACCACAGAAUUGCCUUCGAUACUGGUUGGCUUGAGACCGGAAGAGGACAGCGGAACUGCGAGUGUAGAGGUGAAAUUCGUAGAUAUUCGCAAGAACACCAGUGGCGAAGGCGGCUGUCUGGUCCGGUUCUGACGCUGAGGCGCGAAAGCGUGGGGAGCAAACAGGA